CUCCUCCGUCUCCAACCUUUUCUCCCUAUUCUGCUGUCCAUCGGUGAUUCUUCCUUAUUUUGGACACCAAAAAUCAGAUCAAAAUCCAUCAAAAAGUCAAGUAAAUCUCUUCAAUCCUCCUCUUUCAAUCUGCUAUGAAUUUUAAACUUGAUUUUUUAUCGAUUUAUUGUCAGAAAAAUUUUUGAAAUCCUAGUUCAGCAAGUUUCCCUAUUUUUUCAUUUUUUUAUCUUUUCGGCACCGUUAGGCCACCGUCGGUCAUCGGAGCUUGUGGUUGUCGUCGUUC
rnacentral:lncRNA from 1 species